rnacentral:rRNA from 1 species
UACGGAGGGUGCGAGCGUUAUCCGGAAUUACUGGGUUUAAAGGGUGCGUAGGCGGCUUUAUAAGUCAGGAGUGAAAGUUUGCGGCUCAACCGUAAAAUUGCUUCUGAUACUGCAUGGCUAGAAUUAGGAUGAGGUCAGCGGAAUGUGGCAUGUAGCGGUGAAAUGCAUAGAUAUGCCAUAGAACACCAAUUGCGAAGGCAGCUGACUAGACCUGGAUUGACGCUGAGGCACGAAAGCGUGGGGAGCGAACAGG